GAUGAACGCUGGCGGCGUGCUUAACACAUGCAAGUCGAACGAAAAGGCUCCGGCUUGCGGGUGGACUCGAGUCGAAAGGGGGUGUGACACGCGAGGAACAUCUGCUCUACACUUCGAGAUGCGCGUGGGACAGGGGGUAAUAUAGCGGAUGAGACCCUGGUGUAGGUUCGGUUGUGGAAAGAUUUUUCGGUUUUGGAUGAGCUCGCGGCCUAUCAGCUUGUUGGUGAGGUAAUGGCCUACCAAGGCGUCGACGGGUAGCCGGCCUGAGAGGGUGUCCGGCCACACUGGGACUGAGACACGGCCCAGACUCCUACGGGAGGCAGCAGUGGGGAAUAUUGCACAAUGGGCGCAAGCCUGAUGCAGCGACGCCGCGUGGGGGAUGACGGCCUUCGGGUUGUAAACCCCUUUCGCUAGGGACGAAGCGAAAGUGACGGUACCUGGAGAAGAAGCACCGGCUAACUACGUG
rnacentral:rRNA from 1 species